rnacentral:rRNA from 1 species
UACGAAGGGGGCUAGCGUUGCUCGGAAUCACUGGGCGUAAAGCGCACGUAGGCGGAUUGCUAAGUCAGGGGUGAAAUCCUGGAGCUCAACUCCAGAACUGCCUUUGAUACUGGCGAUCUCGAGUCCGGGAGAGGUGAGUGGAACUGCGAGUGUAGAGGUGAAAUUCGUAGAUAUUCGCAAGAACACCAGUGGCGAAGGCGGCUCACUGGCCCGGUACUGACGCUGAGAUGCGAAAGCGUGGGGAGCAAACAGG